rnacentral:rRNA from 1 species
GUCCUGGCAGUAAACGGUGCACGUUUGGUGUGGGAGGAUUCGACCCCUUCCGUGCCGGAGCUAACGCGUUAAACGUGCCGCCUGGGGAGUACGGUCGCAAGAUUAAAACUCAAAGAAAUUGACGGGGCCCGCACAAGCGGUGGAGUAUGUGGCUUAAUUCGAUGCAACGCGAAGAACCUUACCUAGCCUUGACAUGCAUCUCUAAGUCGGUGAAAGCCGGCGAGUGUAGCAAUACACAAUUUGCACAGGUGCUGCAUGGCUGUCGU